GAGGGUAUAGCUUAGUGGCAGAGCGAAUGCCUAGCAUGCAUGAGGUCCUGGGUUCAAUCCCCAGUACUUCCA
rfam:Camelus ferus unplaced genomic scaffold scaffold715, whole genome shotgun sequence.